AUUGAACGCUGGCGGCAUGCCUAACACAUGCAGGUCGAACGGCAGCACGGCAGUAGCAAUACUGUGGGUGGCGAGUGGCGGACGGGUGAGGAAUACGUCGGAAUCUGCCCAGUCGUGGGGGAUAACUAGCCGAAAGGUUAGCUAAUACCGCAUACGACCGAGAGGUGAAAGCGGGGGACCGCAAGGCCUCGCGCGAUUGGAUGAGCCGACGUCGGAUUAGCUAGUUGGUGGGGUAAAGGCCCACCAAGGCGACGAUCCGUAGCUGGUCUGAGAGGAUGAUCAGCCACACUGGAACUGAGACACGGUCCAGACUCCUACGGGAGGCAGCAGUGGGGAAUAUUGGACAAUGGGCGCAAGCCUGAUCCAGCAAUGCCGCGUGUGUGAAGAAGGCCUCGGUUGUAAGACGACUUUAUCUAGACGAAAGACGUAGGUAGUAAUACUACUGACGU
rnacentral:rRNA from 1 species